UCAUUUUCCCUGUCAUAUAAUUUUGUUGACUCAUGUUUCACUUCUUUUCUUCCCUUUUUCCCACUAAACGGGGGUGGACAUUAAAUGUUCCUGCUUGGGGAAUAGGAUGGCCUGGAGGGAAUGACCAUGAAGACCGGCACUUCACCUCCAGGUCAUUGGUCUUUGUCCAGCUGCAAGCAGAUGUGGUGAGAUUCACUUCCCAUCUACUGCACGCCUGCAUGGGCCAGGCACCCCCCAGUGCUAAGAAUACAGAGCUGAGUGUGUGAGCAAGCUGGAUAAGGAAAGGUGAAAUUACAAUAAAACGUGGGCUGCAAGGGAGGAUGAUUGCAACAAACCUACAAGAUGCUGGAGAAGGAAAAAUGGUUUUGGACGAGGAUGAUACUCGGGAGGAAGAGGUGAAGACAGCAGAGGAGGAUGGCCACUUGCUGAGUGGUGCUGCCCUGUCAGGAACCAGCAGGCACUGUGAACGUGCAUCCUCGAGGGAGCAGGUGAACUGGACCUCAGAGCCCAGAACCACAGGGAGGAUGUCAGUGCCCGGGAAAGCAAAGGAGGAAAUUCCAGAAAGAGAAAGCAAGGGAACCAAAUAUGGAAAUGAGAACGUGCACAGGGAGUUUGAAGAACAUUGGGAAGUUUAAAGAGGGUUGAAGCCCUGGUGUAUUUACAGGUGCAACUGGAAAUGCGGAGGUCGGCCAUGGG